rnacentral:lncRNA from 7 species
UGGAUACGCAGCAGAUGUGCCGCUGUCACACCGCCAAACCGGACCUCUGCCGGGGGUCGGCAGCUCCAGGUGGAACCACCCGGACACGCAAAUCGCGCUCAGCGCUGCCUCACCUGAGGAGAGCGCGCACCCGGGGAACGCGCAUCCCUGUUCACUGAUAGAAACGUGCAGGAGAAAAUGAAACGACGAACAGCCUACCAUGGAAGUAAAUAGCGACGACUUACAGAAAUUGAGUUCUAUGAAGAGCUGAAAGGAAGAUGACUUCUUCCCGUGAUAGCUUUGAUAGCUUCCUGCAUGAAAUCCGAGUGAGAAGCCAUCAGAGGGCAGAAUGUGAGGGUGGGAGUGACUUCAGGCACCGCUGGUGUGACGCUGGCAGCAGUUCUCUGUCAGAGUCCUUGGGGCUGAGAAAUGAUAAGAGGCUGCACGGUCCUGUGGGGUUAAGCAGCUUGACAAGGCAGGUAAACUAAACCAGAGAACAGAUGUUCUCCGCAACAGCUGGCAGGGAUCAUAAUAUGUAAGAACAGGACACUCCUGAAAAGCUUAAAAGCCCUUCUGAACACCUCUACCUCAAUUCACUUCAGUUGAAGCCUGGAAGCCUCACGGGACUUUGGGACCAAUGGAAGCCUGUGACAACGCAUCAGAUUGGACAGAUUUGGCUUCAACAUCACUUCCCCUUUUUUUUUUUUUUUUUAAAUCUACUCUAAUAUCUGUCUUUAAUUUCUUACCAAGUGAUUAACAUGCACCCACUGAGCCUUCUGGUUUCUGAUAUAAUGGAGCCUAACUACUGUAAUCCGAACUUUAUAACAGAAGUGAAAGAAAAACAGACUGCUUUAGAUAUCUAUUUUCUUUUUUUCUGUUUAUUUUUUUCUGAUCAAAUCAUUAUCCCACUGGUUUUAUGCAAAGCAUAAUUAUAUUCAAUUACAUCAAAAAUUAUUCAUGUUUUUUUACUUUCAGGACGCACGUUAUUUUCUUCCAAAUUCCUUACAAACUAAGAUAGUUUACUGAAUGAUUUAAAAAUUAGCACCCUCACGAAGGCAGCUCUUAUCAUCUACGUUCAGAAGCAUUUGCUGUAGGAGGACUUUUACUAAGGUGACUUUUGUUUUUUUUUUAUCUCCCAGAAUCCACUGUGCUGGUUUUCCCUACCCUUCUUUCCAAAUGAGUAACUUGGCCCACAGCACCAUUCACUGAGAAAUAUGGUAAAGACAAGGGCCAAAUGAAGCACUAUGCUUGCUGCUGUUUCCUAAGGUACCAAAGACCAUCAUCCCAAAAACAUAUGUUGACUCCAAGGGUAGGAAUGGGGAGAUAUCUGGAAUGCAAACUGUGCUUUGGCACAUGCAGUCAAAUUUUAGGGUCAUGGAGAGCUGACUCUACAAGGAGUGCAGGUUUAGGUCACAGAUCCCUCAUGACUCCUUACAACAUAGGUAUGAACGUACCUUUGCAAAUAUACCAUCUGAGGAUAGAAAGAUUGCUGCAUUUGUUACAGCAAUGCAUGCUGUCUGGGGCUUGAAAUUUAAUCAUUUGUAACAUUGUUUAUAACCCAUUUUAGUAGCAGAUUUCUGUGACCACAUCAUUAGUUUAUGUAAAUCUCUAUUUUAAUGAGCCUCACCUUUCCUGAAAAGGUCAGAAAUGUAGCUGACAGAUACUACACAUUUUUACUUUGCGUUUGCUAAGUAUCUUGUACAGCCCACGUUACAUUAAAGAUUACAAGGGUAUUCAAAACAUUCAAUAAUUACUGAGUACGGUGCCGUUCUCUGGUCACGCUUUUCAGAUGCAUCACCAGACAUCCCCGCCAUGGCUGCCAACAACUCGCUUUUAAUAAGCUGCUUAUGCCAGUCACCAGAAAGGUCCCACAGAUCUCAGAGCUCGAAAACUCUGAUGAUAUUCUAACAAUAUUUAUAGCUUAGUAGAUGGCAGGUGACCUAUGUCAGAUCAGUGAACGGUAUCAAUGGCCACUGUCCUGGAAGGAACCCUAUUUCAAUGUCUUUUAUGCCUGUAAUAAUGAAAAAUAAAGCCCAUCAAGCUCACUCCUUUUCCCCCCCCGUAAAGUUCACCUCUGUCGUAACGCCCUGCUCCCUCCCUUGAGUUAAUAAAGCUUGGACUGU